UACGAAGGGUGCAAGCGUUACUCGGAAUUACUGGGCGUAAAGCGUGCGUAGGUGGUUCGUUAAGUCUGAUGUGAAAGCCCUGGGCUCAACCUGGGAAUGGCAUUGGAUACUGGCGACCUAGAGUGCGGUAGAGGGUGGCGGAAUUCCCGGUGUAGCAGUGAAAUGCGUAGAUAUCGGGAGGAACAUCCGUGGCGAAGGCGGCCACCUGGACCAGCACUGACACUGAGGCACGAAAGCGUGGGGAGAAAACAGG
rnacentral:rRNA from 1 species